rnacentral:rRNA from 1 species
GACGAACGCUGGCGGCGUGCCUAAUACAUGCAAGUAGAACGCACAGUUUAUACCGUAGCUUGCUACACCAUAGACUGUGAGUUGCGAACGGGUGAGUAACGCGUAGGUAACCUGCCUGGUAGCGGGGGAUAACUAUUGGAAACGAUAGCUAAUACCGCAUAAUAUUAAUUAUUGCAUGAUAAUUAAUUGAAAGGUGCAAUUGCACCACUACCAGAUGGACCUGCGUUGUAUUAGCUAGUAGGUGAGGUAACGGCUCACCUAGGCGACGAUACAUAGCCGACCUGAGAGGGUGAUCGGCCACACUGGGACUGAGACACGGCCCAGACUCCUACGGGAGGCAGCAGGAGGGAAUCUUCGGCAAUGGACGAAAGUCUGACCGAGCAACGCCGCGUGAGUGAAGAAGGUUUUCGGAUCGUAAAGCUCUGUUGUAAGAGAAGAACGGGUGUGAGAGUGGAAAGUUCACACUGUGACGGUAUCUUACCAGAAAGGGACGGCUAACUACGUG